AUUCACCCACAUGGUCCUUCGAGGUGCCGCCGCCGCCGCCCGACCUGCGCCUUCGCGCCACUUCGCGCCCUCGGGCGAGGCCGAGGGGGUGGGGACGACUACCGCAGCGCCGCCGGGGCUCGCGCUCCUCCGCGAAGCUCUCCUCGCGGGGCGGGCCGGCCGGCCGCACCCCCGGCCUGGGGCCUCCGGUCGUAGUAAAGCGCAGGCGGGCGGGGAGGCGGGAGCAGGAGCCCGCGGCCGGCCAGCCGAAGAUGGUGGCGGCUACUCCUCCUGUCAUACACGUGGACCUAACUGCACCAGUAGCUUUUCUGAGAAUACUUGCUGAAAAGGAAGUUUUCUGGAAUGGUAUUUGCUAAGUGGAAGCCAGAAGAGGAGGAAAAUGUUUUGCCACGUGGAUGUGAAGAUUUCCUCUAAAAGUUUGAAGACACACUGACUCCUGACAAAAUGCAGCCUGCAACUUCCUGGAGAACAACUCAGUGUCACAUUAAAGUUUAUUAUGUAUUUAAUGAUACACUGUUUAAUUGACAGUUUUGCAUAGUUUGUCUAACUUUAGAGAAUUAAGAGCCUCUCAACUGAGCAGUAAAGGUAAGGAGAGCUCAAUCUGCACAGAGCCAGUUUUUAGUGUUUGAUGGAAAUAAGAUCAUCAUGCCCACUUGAGACUUCAGAUUAUUCUUUAGCUUAGUGGUUGUAUGAGUUACAUCUUAUUAAAGUCGAAAUUAAUGUAGUUUUCUGCCUUGAUAACAUUUCAUAUGUGGUAUUAGUUUUAAAGGGUCAUUAGGAAAAUGCACAUAUUCCAUGAAUUUUAAGACCCAUAGAAAAGUUGAAGAAUGCUUAAUUUUCUUAUCCAGUAAUGUAAACACAGAGACAGAACAUUGAGAUGUGCCUAGUUCUGUAUUUACAGUUUGGUCUGGCUGUUUGAGUUCUAGCGCAUUUAAUGUUAAUAAAUAAAAUACUGCAUUUUAAAGCUGUUAAGAAAUUGUCCAGAACGAGAAUAUUGAAAUAAAAACUUCAAGGUUAUUAUCGCA
rnacentral:lncRNA from 1 species